UGCGUUUCCUGUAUGUUGUGCAACUCGUGGUUUCAGUGUAGUGUUGAUCCGUGUACUAUUGUUUACCCAGAGUAUAUCAUUAACGAUCUCACCGCUAGGAAUGUUCAGACUCUCCAACCCUGGGUUUGUGCUGUUUCAUCUCUGACGGGGCAUGUGUCCCAAAUGGCACCCUUAUUAUUAUUUGUAGUCUACUACCGUUGACCUGGGUCCACACCCUAUUAUAUACACACUGACCCUUAUCUCGUGGACUAUGAGCCCUGGUCAAUAGUCGUCAAGUGUAAAAGGAAUAGGGUGAGAGAGACACUGUUUUAGACUGUCUCUGGACCCGGUUGAGAGACACUGUUUUAGACUGUCUCUGGACCCGGUUGAGAGACACUGUUUUAGACUGUCUCUGGACCCGGUUGAGAGACACUGUUUUAGACUGUCUCUGGACCCGGUUGAGAGACACUGUUUUAGACUGUCUCUGGACCCGGUUUAGAGACACUGUUUUAGACUGUACCUGGUUUAGAGACACUUUCUGGACCUGGUUUAGAGACACUGUUUUAGACUGUCUCUGGACCUGGUUUAGAGACACUGUUUCAGACUGUAUCUGGACCUGGUUUAGAGACACUGUUUUAGACUGUAUCUGGACCAGGUUUAGAGACACUGUUUUAGACUGUAUCUGGACCAGGUUUAGAGACACUGUUUUAGACUGUAUCUGGACCCGGUUUAGAGACGUUGUUUCAGACUGUAUCUGGACCCGGUUUAGAGACGUUGUUUCAGACUGUCUCUGGACACUUUUGACAUUGCAGCCGACUGUCGAGACUGACCAAUCUACAAAUCACCUUGGAUCACAAAUAACUACUCAAUAUUAUUUGUAGAUCAGUCAGUCGGUCAGAAUUGACCCAUGAUACAUUGCGGUUUGGAUCGAACACAGCCAUAGUUUCUAUGCUGAUGUGUUCCGUAGACUUGGACAGACACACUGCCUCAAAGGGGCUGAAUUCACCGGCCUGGCUCAUGGCUGCUCUCCUACACUCUCUCUCUAGAGACAGGCACCCCUCACUGGCAGUCUGGCUGCUGUGUCCCCAUUGGUCCAGAUGUGAGAGCAGAGACCAGCAGUGUCUCCUCUAACCCUCAGGGCCCGUCGUCAUGGAAAUGGUGUUGUCGUUACCAAGGCCGUCGUGGGGGUUGUGGUCUGUGUUAGUCCCAGGCCUGGCCCUACUGCUGUGCCUGGCCCUGGUCCUGAUGGGCUGUGUGAUCAGGAAGAAGAGAAGGAUGGAGGGAAUGUAUCGGCCCAGUGCGGAGGAGAGCAAACAGACCGGACCACGGGGGGCUGAGAGACCAGGCCUGCCCCUGCCCAAGGAGGAGAGACUCAUCUGAUACAUGCACUUUAGCCUGGACGCUACACACACUCUCUUUUCCUUCUCUCUCUCUCUCACUACCAUUGCCUCACUGUCCUCUACCCUGUACAUGAAGCCAGAACGGGUUAUUAGUGGUUAUGUGUUGUGUAAAGUUAUCUGUGGAUGGAGUGUCUUGUUAAAUAUGCCUGAACAUGCCUGGUGGAUGUGCCAUGUUCUCUCCAGUUUCUCCAACUGUGCUGAUGUUGACAUCAGUGUGUCAACAGGUGAAUGCUGAAUGCCCUGUCAGGGGUGUGUUGUUCACCUGUAGGUGGACUAGUUGUUGACAUGAUUACCUGUAGGUGGACUAGUUGUUGAUCAUACAGAGAAAAGGGAAUUUUAAAAGUUCCUCUAUAUGCAAAAUGUCUCUUUAUUAUGGCAGUUAUACUGUUACAUGUGAACCAACUAUGAUUUAGGUGUAUCCCGUGUAUAAAGCAUUAGUGUGUGUGUGUGUGUGUGUGUGUUUUAUAUCUUGAAAAUGAAGAGAAGAAUGGUAAGACACUAUGAAUGAUUUCUAAUGCACUUCUGAUGAUAUUAACCAUGUGAAAACAAUAAAACUCCUCUCAAAAAGUAUAAA
ensembl:lncRNA